rnacentral:rRNA from 1 species
GAUGAACGCUAGCUACAGGCUUAACACAUGCAAGUCGAGGGGUAACGAGAGGAAAGCUUGCUUUCCUUGUCGACGACCGGCGCACGGGUGAGUAACGCGUAUCCAACCUGCCCCCAACUAGGGAAUAACCUUGCGAAAGUAAGACUAAUACCCUAUAAUUUCCUCAGAUGUCAUCUGACGAGGAAUAAAGAUUUAUCGGUUGUGGAUGGGGAUGCGUCUGAUUAGCUUGUUGGCGGGGUAACGGCCCACCAAGGCAACGAUCAGUAGGGGUUCUGAGGGGAAGGUCGCCCACAUUGGAACUGGGACACGGUCCAAACCCCUACGGGAGGCAGCAGUGAGGAAUAUUGGUCAAUGGGCGGAAGGCUGAACCAGCCAAGUAGCGUGCAGGAUGACGGCCCUAUGGGUUGUAAACUGCUUUUAUACAGGAAUAAAGUUAGCCACGUGUGGUUAUUUGUAGGUACUGUAUGAAUAAGGACCGGCUAAUUCCGUGCCAGCCGCCGCCGUAA